rnacentral:pre_miRNA from 2 species
GGGACGGGGCCUGCAGGCAGAAGUGGGGCUGACAGGGCAGAGGGUUGCACCCCCUCACCACCCCUUCUGCCUGCAGCGGUGGGCU